AAUAGAUACCCUGGUAGUCCACGCCGUAAACGAUGAGUGCUAAGUGUUAGGGGGUUUCCGCCCCUUAGUGCUGCAGCUAACGCAUUAAGCACUCCGCCUGGGGAGGUACGGUCGCAAGAACUGAAACUCAAAGGAAUUGACGGGGGCCCGCACAAGCGGUGGAGCAUGUGGUUUAAUUCGAAGCAACGCGAAGAACCUUACCAGGUCUUGACAUCCCACUGACCGCUAUGGAGACAUAGCUUUCCCUUCGGGGACAGUGGUGACAGGUGGUGCAUGGUUGUCGUCAGCUCGUGUCGUGAGAUGUUGGGUUAAGUCCCGCAACGAGCGCAACCCUUGAUCUUAGUUGCCAUCAUUUAGUUGGGCACUCUAAGGUGACUGCCGGUGACAAACCGGAGGAAGGUGGGGGAUGACGUCAAAUCAUCAUGCCCCUUAUGACCUGGGCUACACACGUGCUACAAUGGACGGUACAAAACGGUUGCCAACCCGCGAGGGGGGAGCUAAUCCGGAUAAAAACCGUUCUCAGUUCGGAUUGUAGGCUGCAACUCGCCUA
rnacentral:rRNA from 1 species